UACGUAGGGGGCAAGCGUUGUCCGGAUUUAUUGGGCGUAAAGAGCGUGUAGGCGGCCAUGCAGGUCAGCUGUGAAAACUCGAGGCUCAACCUCGAGACGCCGGUGGAAACUGCAAAGCUAGAGUCCGGAAGAGGAGAGUGGAAUUCCUGGUGUAGCGGUGAAAUGCGCAGAUAUCAGGAAGAACACCCGUGGCGAAGGCGGCUCUCUGGGACGGUACUGACGCUGAGACGCGAAAGCGUGGGGAGCGAACAGG
rnacentral:rRNA from 1 species